UGACUAGGGGUGAAAGGCUAAAACAAAUCCGGAGAUAGCUGGUUCUCCUCGAAAACUAUUGAGGUAGUGCCUCGUGUAUAUCCACUGGGGUAGAGCACUGUAAUGGCUAGGGGGACAUGUAGUCUUACCAAAACCAUAGCAAACUCCGAAUACCAGUGAGAGUGAGCACGGGAGACAGUCCUCGGGUGCUAACGUCCGAGGGCAAGAGGGAAACAACCCAGACCGCCAGCUAAGGUCCCCAAGAUAUGGUUAAGUGGGAAACGAAGUGGAAGGCAUAGACAGUCAGGAUGUUGGCUUAGAAGCAGCCAUCAUUUAAAGAAAGCGUAAUAGCUCACUGAUCGAGUCGUCCUGCGCGGAAGAUGUAACGGGGCUCAAGCCAUACACCGAAGCUGCGGAUCGUAGUAAUACGAUGGUAGAGGAGCGUUCUGUAAGCCUGUGAAGGUGUCUCGUAAGGGAUGCUGGAGGUAUCAGAAGUGCGAAUGCUGACAUGAGUAGCGUUAAAAC
rnacentral:rRNA from 1 species